ACCACCCAGUCCCAACCUCCUGCCCUGGGCAGAGGCACCUUCCACUACCCCAGGUUGCUGCAAGCCUCGUCCAACCUGGCCUUGAUUCUGCUUCUUUCCUCUCUUUUCCAAACCUACAUCUCCUAAGCAGAGAUGUGAUUGUCUGGUUCUUCUCACUAAAAUCAAGGGAAGAUAUUAGAGUAAAUAACCUGUGCAGCCUCUGAUGUGCUUUAGGAAGGAAUUAAUCAACUGACAAGUUUGUACUUCAUUUUCCUUCAUCACCUAACAGCUUAGCAACAAGCAAUGACUGGCAAAUUUUGCUGCUCUUCAAAAUCAAUGCCACUUUUCUGGAUCAUUUCCUCAUCUUCACGAUCAUCUGUCAGAACAGUAAAUUGACAAUGUGUUGCCAAGGACAGCGUGGGGUCUGCUGCAAGCCUUGAUAAUUAGAGGAUGAAUUUAACCUUUUCAAAGUCAAACAUGCUAUAGGUUUGGAUCCCCCAUGAGCAUUAACUUGCUUUUGAUACUGUUAAUCUGGAUGUGUUUUCUACUGCAUUAAACUUUUCCUUUAUAUUCAAAAUAUCACAUUGAGGACAUGCACUGCUUGACUCAUUCAGCAGUAAUCCAUGUUUGGUGUUAGAUUAUUGUAAUACCUGGGAAACUUCAGCAUGGAUUGUGAUCCUGCUGCAUGAGCCCAGAACUAAAAACAGGCUCUGUCCUUGGGAAGUGUGUGUGAUGAUAAAAACCAGAAAAGGGACACUGGUGAGUGGGUGAGCACAGAAAAAAUGAGGAAAAUAACUGGUUAUCAUUGCAGGUGGGAUGUGGCUGGCAGUAGCCACAUGGGGUGAGCAUUGUUGGGGAUUUUAGUGGGAAUUGGAAAGAAAAUAACCAUGUCUACAAGUUUGUGAGCAACUUUAGAAGACGCAAAAUUGCCAGUGCACUUGUCUGGAACCACCCCAGGCAACGGGCACUCAGGACUCUGUUGGAAGAUAACUUAAAAACCCCUGUUUGCUAAUUAUAGGUGUCAGCUGUGUCAAUCAUUUAACAUAUUCAUUAAGAGUAAUCAGGGAACAAUGCUUGAUUAGGAUCUCUUUGCUACAGAGCUGUCAGGUGCAAGGCAAAACCAGGAGGCUGUGCCUAGAAUGGAGAGAAAAAUCACAUCAGCUGAAGUCCUUUGUUUUUUAGAUGACUCUGAGGAGACAAGUGAUUGAUAUUUGAUGGAAUGAGAAGGAUCAUACAAAAAGAUGAGAAGAUGGUGUCAGUGUGGAUAUUGUAGUUGGCCAACCAAAAAGGAACGUGAUGGCACUGAUCACUGUGAGGAAAGGUUUGGCCCAGCCAGGGAGGAGGUUUUUGGUGCUACUGAGAGAGAAAGACUCUUCCAGGAAACUUUCCCAGAACCUUCUUUGCUAAAAGUUUGCUGUCUACGCUAGAGGCUCCAGCAUUUGGAUAAUGUGACUUUCUUCUGAUAGAGACAGGCACAGUUGCAAGGCAGCUGGGAAGAAAAUCUGUCUUCUUAGAGCGUCUAGAUUGUAAGAUCAGAAGAUGGUUUGAGUUGAAAAGAACCUUAAGGAUCAUCCAGUCCCACCUCUGUCAUGGGCUGGGACACCUUCCACUCUCCCAGGGUGCUCCAAGCCCUGUCCAACCUGGCCUUGGACAUGUCCAGGGAUCCAGGGGCAGCCACAGCUUCUUUGGGCACCCUGUGCCAGGGGCUCCCUACCCUCACAGGGAGGAAUUUCUUCAUAUCUAAACCUCCCCUCUUUCAGUUUGGAUAUUAGAUGUCGAUCUGAGCCCCUGGAAUGUUGGCCUUCUUUGAUAGAUUUGCUGUGAUCUGUGAGGUCAUCACUGGACAAUCCAGAAUUCCAUGCUACUGGGAAACUCAGAGACUGGAUAGUUCUCUUGAAUACCACAAGAUAUGUAGACAAAUUCAUCCAUCCCAAGAAAAUAUCAGGAUAUCUAUCUAUCUAUCAAUCUAUCUAUCUAUAUCGAUAUCUAUAUAUAUAUAAAACUGUUGAUGAGGCUGUUCUACCACUCUCAAGGUAAUUUCUCAAGGAAAACUUGCAGGGACCAUCUUAGCUCUUGGAAGUUCAGUUGAUAUUCCUUAGGCUGCUCUUCCUUUUUAAAGGGUAAAGCAUAUUUCAUAAAUGCAGCUUUAUGAAUGAAACAUGUCAUUUAAUGUACACAAGCAGUCAGACUUUGUGCUUCUGACAAUGCAACUUAUUUCAGAAAUCAAAAUCCUUGCAGCACUGAGCUGCAGGGACAAAAAAGGACCCCACAGUUCAGUAACUAAAAAGCAGGAGCUUUGCAAAAUUUCUGGAGAAAAUUUCAGCCUCCACUUGGAAGGUGUGCUGACUUCCUUGGGCUGAGGUGCACAAUAACAAUAAAAUAGCAAUUUUCAUCUUAUACCCAUCAGAGUUUCCCAUCAGAGAAUAAAAUAGUGACCAUACUGUUGCCCUUUGCUUGCUUUUUUUGCUUGAUGUGAUAACUGUGAGUGAGGAAGACCAACAUCCUCUCUGUGUUUUCAGACUUUUUACCUUCUCUCUGGUAGCAGAAAGUUGUUGCUGUGAGCUGCUUUUUUGCUGCCAGGUUGGUCAUGAUGAUCUUGUAUGCUGUGGGUCUCAAUUGUCUUGUGGAAAACUGUUACACUUUCAAAAGUAGCGGAUUUUAGCUGCCUGAAAUUUAAGCAGACAUCAUUUACAGAUCAGAAGUGCACUCUGAAAGUGACUCUCCCCAUUCUCCACGGUUCCCAUGCUGUCUUGUCACAUCAUGGAGCCAUGUCAGAGAAAAUCAGCUGAAUUUCUUUUGGGUGCAAAUUAACUGGAAGAUGCAAUUCUGACAAACAUGUAAAAUGCCAGUGGACAGUAGGAUGGCAUAAUUCAAAAUAAAACCUUCUGAAAAGCACAUAGUGUGAACACUGACUCUUCAACACUAAUUAUUUUGCUCAACAGAGUUUCUCUCUCCAGAGCUGCAGGACUUGUUAAAGUAGACAUGGGCUGGAGAGAAAACAUGUCAAGAGAAAUGCUGGCAAUUAAAGUGGAAACAGAGCAGUAAAUUGAAGUGCUGUGCUUAUAAAAGAAUACCUGACUUAAACACUUGCCAGCUGUACAAAAAAUGGCUGUGUGAUUGACCUCUGCUGUAAUCAGCAGAUUCGAUUAAGAAUUUUUCACUGGACUUCUCAGGUUGUCUUUGAAGACUUGGACAAGAUUAUUCUUCUACUGAACUGAAUCCCUGCCUCCAGUCCAGGGAGGGAGAAAAAAAAAAGACAAUUACUUAGAACUUUCACUGAAGAUGAAAGGACUUAGAAGUAUCUCUGUUAUUCUGCUUUCAAAGGGAGCAUUUCGGAAGAGCUGGGCUGAUUUCUGGCUCUCAGUUUCACAGGGAAGAGAGCACAUUUCAGCAUAGAGUAGGACGUGCCUGGCUUGGAGGUCAUGAGUUACUUCUGAGUAAACUGAGUAAAUAAAACAAAUUACACAGCU